CGGACGACAAAGUGGGACAUAUUUUGACUCAUUGAUUCAAUUAAUUUUUAUGCCUGAAAUCUUUGGCAUACUAAUUUAUAAAACAAGAGUGUUUUAAAAUAGAUGGACAGAAAACCUGGUGAUUAUUAAAAAUAUCCUGUGAAGUGACUCCUGUUGUGUGAGUAGUGGUUACUUUAUCGCAGUUUUAAGUCAUAAACCUCGAUGACGAUCUCAGUCUAUUUACAUUCAUGCUGUGCUUUUCUCCUUUUCUCUCAAAUAUGAACUGAUAAAAAAUAUAAAUCUUUUGAGAAUCAAACCACAAAUUCCAUCCUUUUUAUUUAUCUUUAGUUACAAUAAAACAGCUCUGAGAUAAAAUCGACCUUUUCCUUUGUCCUUUUUAAAAUAUUUAAUGUUCAAUAAAAUAGGAAAUGAAUUAAAUAAAUUAAAUGCAUGUUGUUCAGACUAAACCUAAACCAGAAGUCACUUUUGCAACAGUAAACUCAGCCAAUCCUUUGAUAAAACCUCAGUUAGCAGUUUGACUGGCAGUGAAUGCACCGCUGUGUGACCUUUGACCAUAAACCUUUGAAAUCUUUAAACUACACUAAGUUAAAGUUCUAAGUUCUAAGACUUUGUACACGUAGGCUUUUUAUUGAUCUCGUUUUUACAAUGUAAUAGAAAAUAUAGAGACUUUGUUCUGUCACGUGUCCAGUCAUCACUGACGGACACUCCUGCAGCUCCGACUGACACUGAACGACUGGGCUGUAAAGACUGCAGUGAUGUCGUGUUUGUACCUCAGUGUUUCUGCCUCAACAGCACCUGAAUUCCUGCGUCUACCAGGCCAGAGGUGAAGACAGUCUGGGACUCCUGGGGUUUUCUGGAGUAUGGGUCUCACUCAGAGCUCUCUGUCAAAUAAAAGGAACAGAAAACAAAGGUCCGGGUUCCCUGUGAUCCUCGUACCUUUAGCUGCCAGUGGAACCGUGGUGAGGUCUCUGGAGAAGUUGAGCAGCUCAGGGAAGUGUUGGCACAGAGACUUGGCCAGGAUGUGGAGGAAGGUGGAUUUUCCAUCCACAGUUUUGGUGGUGCUCAGCUGUGAGGAGUGGAGGGAAACAAUGAGACUCUUAGAAAACAACAGUGACAUGAGUUCCGUGGGCGUCAACUGAAGGAGGCGGAGCUUCACCUCGGUGAGGAAAUUGAUCUUAAAACUGGUGGUUCUGUUGCUCCUGGGUUGACCGUUGUUCAGGUAAUUCCCCAUGGCAAGAACAAACUGUGUGCAGAGACAACAC